AAGUCUGAUGUGAAAGCCUUCGGCUUAACCGGAGAAGUGCAUCGGAAACUGGAUAACUUAGAGUGCAGAAGAGGGUAGGUGGAACUCCCAUGUGUAGCGGUGGAAUGCGUAGAUAUAUGGAAGAACACCAGUGGCGAAGGCGGCUACCUCGGUCUGCAACUGACGCUGAGACUCGAAAGCAUGGGGUAGCGAACAGGAUUAGAUACCCCUGGUAG
rnacentral:rRNA from 1 species